UUUUACUAGAUAUUUUGCUAUAUAAUUUUCUUCUUCUCCUGUGUUUAAGAGUAUUAAAUAUUCUUUUUCAUUUAUUUUUCCCGUUAUAUAAUAUUGAUUUAAGUUACUUAUUGAGUUUGUUUCAUAACUUGUUCUUUUUGAUGAGCUUGAUGAUUCUGGCUUUUCAUUAGCUAUUCUUUUCGUUGUACUUAUUCUAUCAUUUACUAUUUCUAAAUUUUCUUCUGUAUCUAUGUCUCUAUAGGUAUAAUCAUUAUAAUCUAUUGUUUUUACUAUUUGUUCGAAUGGGCUUUCUAUUUGUAUUUUGUUAAUCUUAUUUUUUCCUGUUAUUUUAUGUUUUGUUGUUAAUACAUAUAGAUUUUUACAUCUUGCUG
rnacentral:lncRNA from 1 species